CCGAUUAAAGCGGCACGCGAGCUGGGUUCAGAACGUCGUGAGACAGUUUGGUCUCUAUCCUCUGCGCUCGUUGGAAUGCUGAGGAGGCCUGCCCAUAGUACGAGAGGACCUGGGUGGACGAACCUCUGGUAUGCCGGUUGUCACGCCAGUGGCACGGCCGGUUGGCUACGUUCGGAAGGGAUAACCGCUGAAAGCAUCUAAGCGGGAAGCCUGCUCCAAGAUAAGCAUUCCGUGGAACCUUCGAGUUCCUGUAGUCCCCAUGCAGAACACGUGGUCGAUAGGCCGGACGUGGAAGCCCCGCGAGGGGUGGAGCCGACCGGUACUAACGGACGAAAGGCA
rnacentral:rRNA from 1 species